rnacentral:tRNA from 1 species
GAAUUGGUGGUUCAGUGGUAGACUUUUUGCCUUCCAUACAGAAGACCUGGGUUUGAUUCCUGGCCAAGGUA